rnacentral:rRNA from 1 species
AGAGUUUGAUCAUGGCUCAGGAUGAACGCUGGCGGCGUGCUUAACACAUGCAAGUCGAACGAUGAAGCCCAGCUUGCUGGGUGGAUUAGUGGCGAACGGGUGAGUAACACGUGAGUAACCUGCCCUUGACUCUAGGAUAAGCCCGGGAAACUGGGUCUAAUACUGGAUAGGAACGUCUACCGCAUGGUGGAUGUUGGAAAGAAUUUCGGUCAUGGAUGGACUCGCGGCCUAUCAGCUUGUUGGUGAGGUAAUGGCUCACCAAGGCGACGACGGGUAGCCGGCCUGAGAGGGUGACCGGCCACACUGGGACUGAGACACGGCCCAGACUCCUACGGGAGGCAGCAGUGGGGAAUAUUGCACAAUGGGCGAAAGCCUGAUGCAGCGACGCCGCGUGAGGGAUGACGGCCUUCGGGUUGUAAACCUCUUUCAGUAGGGAAGAAGCGAAAGUGACGGUACCUGCAGAAGAAGCACCGGCUAACUACGUGCCAGCAGCCGCGGUAAUACGUAGGGUGCGAGCGUUAUCCGGAAUUAUUGGGCGUAAAGAGCUCGUAGGCGGUUUGUCGCGUCUGUCGUGAAAGUCCGGGGCUUAACCCCGGAUCUGCGGUGGGUACGGGCAGACUAGAGUGCAGUAGGGGAGACUGGAAUUCCUGGUGUAGCGGUGGAAUGCGCAGAUAUCAGGAGGAACACCGAUGGCGAAGGCAGGUCUCUGGGCUGUAACUGACGCUGAGGAGCGAAAGCAUGGGGAGCGAACAGGAUUAGAUACCCCGGUAGUCC